rfam:Canis lupus familiaris chromosome 14, whole genome shotgun sequence.
GCCUGGGUGGCUCAGUGGUUGAGCAUCUGCCUUUGGCUCAGGUUGUGACCCCGAGGUCCUGGGAUCGAGUCCCACAUCAGGCU